UGUCACGAUUUUUUGUAAUUGC
rnacentral:siRNA from 1 species